rnacentral:lncRNA from 1 species
AUAACAUUAGCCCUACAAACCUACAUACAAGACAUAACAAUACAAUAACUAAUAUGCAAUAAGUUACAUGACACAAAAUGGAGCAUGGUGAUACGCAAAAUGGAGCAAGGUGAUAAUAUGCAGAUUAAGAGCAUGAUAAUGAAAGUUAUAAAAAUUAAAAGGCAUAGAUUAAUAUAAACUAAGCAUGAUUAGGGAGAUGAUAAAAUGUAUAACAUAAAAUAUUAUAAUUAUAGAAGAGGGGCGAAAGAUACCAAAUGGACAGUCAAACUCGUAUAUUAAAAAUAAACGGACACCACAAUGGCUAAAAAAGAAAAAGACGAACAGAAAAAUAAUAGUACACAAAAC